AUGAAGAGGUUGCAUAUUUUAUUAGUAGCUUGUGUUAGAUGAAUAAGCAUCGUAGCACUGGUGAAAGGGAAAUAUGCCGAAACACUGCCUAACUUAUUUCGGGUAGCUGUUGGGACAUAGUCAUAAUAGGCUAUGGACUGUCGCAGAAAGUUGCGGGGCGCUUCCU
rnacentral:ncRNA from 1 species